GAUGAACGCUAGCGGCAGGCUUAAUACAUGCAAGUUGAGGGGCAGCAUGAUAUACGCGAGUAUAUUGAUGGCGACCGGCGGACGGGUGAGUAAUAGGUAGGAGACCUACCUCAUACAGGGGGAUAGCAUAGAGAAAUCUGUGGUAAUACCCCAUGAGGUUAUAUGAAUAGAGGCAUAUAAUCAAAGCAUAAGCGAUUAUGCGGUAUGAGAGGGGCCUACUGACCAUUAGCUAGUUGGUGAGGUAAGGGCUCACCAAGGCGAAGAUGGUUAGGGGUUUUGAGAGAGAGACCCCCCACAUUGGAACUGAGAGACGGUCCAGACUCCUACGGGAGGCAGCAGUAGGGAAUAUUGGGCAAUGGGCGAAAGCCUGACCCAGCCAUGCCGCGUGAAGGAAGACGGCCUUAUGGGUUGUAAACUUCUUUACUACGCGAAUAGAGGUUAGUACGAGAUACUAAUAGGAAGGUAGUGUAGUAAAAAAGCACCGGCUAACUCCGU
rnacentral:rRNA from 1 species